rnacentral:tRNA from 1 species
GCUCGGAUGGUGGAAUUGGUAUACACGCAACACUUAAAAUGUUGUCCCGAAAGGGAUGUGGGUUCAACUCCCACUCCGAGCA